rnacentral:rRNA from 1 species
UGGAGCCGACCUUGAAAUACCACCCUUUAAUGUUUGAUGUUCUAACGUGGACCCGUAAUCCGGGUUGCGGACAGUGUCUGGUGGGUAGUUUGACUGGGGCGGUCUCCUCCUAAAGAGUAACGGAGGAGCACGAAGGUUGGCUAAUCCUGGUCGGACAUCAGGAGGUUAGUGCAAUGGCAUAAGCCAGCUUGACUGCGAGCGUGACGGCGCGAGCAGGUGCGAAAGCAGGUCAUAGUGAUCCGGUGGUUCUGAAUGGAAGGGCCAUCGCUCAACGGAUAAAAGGUACUCCGGGGAUAACAGGCUGAUACCGCCCAAGAGUUCAUAUCGACGGCGGUGUUUGGCACCUCGAUGUCGGCUCAUCACAUCCUGGGGCUGAAGUAGGUCCCAAGGGUAUGGCUGUUCGCCAUUUAAAGUGGUACGCGAGCUGGGUUUAGAACGUCGUGAGACAGUUCGGUCCCUAUCUGCCGUGGGCGCUGGAGAACUGAGGGGGGCUGCUCCUAGUACGAGAGGACCGGAGUGGACGCAUCACUGGUGUUCGGGUUGUCAUGCCAAUGGCACUGCCCGGUAGCUAAAUGCGGAAGAGAUAAGUGCUGAAAGCAUCUAAGCACGAAACUUGCCCCGAGAUGAGUUCUCCCUGAGACUUUAAGUCUCCUGAAGGAACGUUGAAGACGACGACGUUGAUAGGCCGGGUGUGUAAGCGCAGCGAUGCGUUGAGCUAACCGGUACUAAUGAACCGUGAGGCUUAACCUUACAACGCCGAAG